rnacentral:lncRNA from 1 species
UGUGACCCAAGGGUAAACAAAAUGGAUAAAAAAAAAUGUUAUCCUUACGGCCCAAUAAUUGUUAUUUUAGGCUACAUCAUACGUCCAAAGUAGCAAGUAUACGUAAAUUUUAUAACCAUUUUCUCAAUUUCCAUUGCUUUUCAUAAAAACAUCAGACUUCACUUUAUGAAGAAUGGUGGACAUCUCUUCACGCUUCUUCUUUUCUCUCGAUUGAUGUAACUUCCUUGGCCACUCUAAUGUACAUCUUUCUGUUUCAGCUUUAGAAAGUUUAGUAAUUCUCCUAAUAAUCGGGUUUUAGUUUAUUUUUUUUUUCUAUCACAAUGGAUCAGAAUAUUUCCUUUGUUAAGAAGCACAGAGAGACUUGUAUUUGAUUGUUUUGAAGUUGUUACUCUUUAAUAUCUUCCGAUUGCAAUUGUACAUGCAAUUCUUAAAUUUUUCUUCGUCUUCUUUUCUGCAAGAUGAAAAAAUUGGUUAAUAACAAAGAAAGCAAAAAAAUAAUAAAAAAAUAAAGCAAGGUCAAAGACGUAAGAAUUAAGAUCAAUAUAUUACACAUACUUGUAAUAUAUUUCCUUGUAAACGAAAGAAUACACAAACA